rnacentral:ncRNA from 2 species
UAAGAUCUUCGGGGUCGGGUGCAAGUCCCAACCGGCGGUAUAGUCCGCGACCCGCACGAUGUGCGGCUGAACCGGUGACUCUCACAUGAGGGGAUUCCGGUACCGACAGUAUAGUCUGGAUGAGAGAAGAGAACA